rnacentral:lncRNA from 1 species
CCAUGGCUAAAUUGUAGCAAAAGACUGGUCAAUUAGCCGAAAAAUGCCGACGAAGCCCGACGGCGACAGUGCCGCAGGAAAUUUCACAAAACGUCUCCGAUGAGUCCCUUUUUUAUUCCUGUUUUAUGUAAUUUUUCUACUGUUGUGAUCAUCGUGUCCUUCUCUACAGGUUGACCGGAGCAAAACACUCAACCGAAACGUGAGCCGGAGGAGCUGCCGCACCGGAGAGCCCCGCCGCAGGUGAGUUUUAGUUUUUUUGUAUUUUUUUGGACCGACCGAGAUCCUUUAAUGUGUGCAAUGAUUGUUAAUUAUAUAUAGAAUCAUGAUCUGUAUAAU